AGCAAGAUGACCCCCCCCAAUCCCACCCCAGCCUCGUGCUGCCUGGCCGCCAACUGAUGGGUCAAUUUGGUGAAGAAGUUUCCCCAACAGGAAGAACACAGUAUGACAGUAUGAAAAAGAGGCAGAGGAAAAAAGGCCUGAUGGAGUUGGAGAAUGAGCCACAUGUCCUGUGGUCAUUCAUUGAAAGUUUUGACAGAAGGAUUGCAGAGCAUUGGGAGGGUCAAAAGUGUCGAGAUCCACCUGCCUGUAGACGACAGAGACCUAAAAUAAGUCAGUAUAUGAAUGCAACUAUUGCUAAAUAUAAAUGAGGAUAAAGUGAGAAACAACAACAAAAUAAUUAACACUGACU